rnacentral:lncRNA from 1 species
AGCGCUUUUAGUCAAGCAAGACUACAAAUAGGUGAUCACAGAGCGUCGAUGCAGGACAGCUUGGAAAAAUGAGUGCUUUUUCGAGAUUGGAUCCGCGCAGAAAGAAGGAACUUUGGGCUAGCUGAAUCACAACCAGAAAUAGAUGAGUGCUUUGAAGAAAUGCUAGCAGAACUUGCUCAGGAAACAUUUUCACCCGGAAGUGGUGAUGAACAAGCUUCAUUUCCAUCACCGUCAACACAACCACCUCCAAACCUUGAAGGUUUUAUGAGAUUUGUUAGAAAUAAUACAUNNN